CUCAGGAGCUUAUAAUUUAGUAGACACAUAAGCCACAAACAGAAGCCAGCUCUGUGUCAGGCCCCAUGAGAAGUCCGCAGGUGCGAUCUUCAAUUUGGAGGGAAAAGCUGACUAACAUUGAACAUCAACACAGACUUCAUCUGAUAAGAAACAUUCAUGAUCUACUCUCUAUGAAGCCUGCUACCUGGAGGACUACAGGAAGGAUGGCUGGGGAGGCCUCAGGAAACUUACAGUCACAGCGGAAGGCAAAGAGGAAGCAGGCAGCGGCUUCGUGGCAGGAGCAGGAGGAAGGCGGUGGGGAGGUGCUACAUACUUUUAAACAACUGGAUCUUGUGAGAACUCACUAUCACGAGAACAGCAAGGGGGAAUUCUGCGCCCUGAUCCAGUCACCUCCCACCAGGCUCCUCCUCCAACAGUGGGGAUUACAAUUCGACAUGAGAUUUGAGUGGGGACACAGAUCCAAACCAUAUCAGUGUCAUUAAAAAAAUAGUUGCCCUGCUAACUUUUUUAAUCCCCUGUAACUCUAAAUAAAAUAAUGAUGUGAACAUAACA
rnacentral:lncRNA from 1 species